UUAAGUUAAUAAGGGCGCACGGUGGAUGCCUUGGCACUAGGAGCCGACGAAGGACGUGACAAACGACGAUAUGCCUUGGGUAGCUGUAAGUAAGCGAUGAUCCAGGGAUUUCCGAAUGGGGGAACCCAACAGGUAAUACCUGUUACCUACAUCUGUUAAGGAUGUGAGGAGGAAGACGCAGUGAACUGAAACAUCUAAGUAGCUGCAGGAAGAGAAAGCAAAAGCGAUUGCCUUAGUAGCGGCGAGCGAAACGGCAGAAGGGCAAACCGAAGAGUUUACUCUUCGGGGUUGUAGGACUGCAAUGUGGACUCAAAGAUUAUAGAAGAAUGAUUUGGGAAGAUCAGCCAAAGAGAGUAAUAGCCUCGUAUUUAAAAUAGUCUUUGUACUUAGCAGUAUCCUGAGUACGGCGGGACACGUGAAAUCCCGUCGGUAAUCUGGGAGGACCAUCUCCCAACCCUAAAUACUCCCUAGUGACCGAUAGUGAACCAGUACCGUGAGGGAAAGGUGAAAAGCACCCCGGGAGGGGAGUGAAAUAGAACCUGAAACCGUGUGCCUACAACAAGUUCGAGCCCGUUAAUGGGUGAGAGCGUGCCUUUUGUAGAAUGAACCGGCGAGUUACGUUAUGAUGCGAGGUUAAGUUGAAGAGACGGAGCCGUAGGGAAACCGAGUCUGAAUAGGGCGCCUUAGUAUCAUGACGUAGACCCGAAACCAUGUGACCUACCCAUGAGCAGGUUGAAGGUGCGGUAAGACGCACUGGAGGACCGAACCAGGGCACGUUGAAAAGUGCUUGGAUGACUUGUGGGUAGCGGAGAAAUUCCAAACGAACUUGGAGAUAGCUGGUUCUCUCCGAAAUAGCUUUAGGGCUAGCGUCGACAUUAGAGAUUCUUGGAGGUAGAGCACUGUUUGGGUGAGGGGUCCAUCCCGGAUUACCAAUCUCAGAUAAACUCCGAAUGCCAGUGAAUUAUGGUCGGCAGUCAGACUGCGAGUGCUAAGAUCCGUAGUCGAAAGGGAAACAGCCCAGACCACCAGCUAAGGUCCCAAAAUAAUUGUUAAGUGGAAAAGGAUGUGGGGUUGCACAGACAACUAGGAUGUUAGCUUAGAAGCAGCUAUUCAUUCAAAGAGUGCGUAAUAGCUCACUAGUCGAGUGACCCUGCGCCGAAAAUGUACCGGGGCUAAAACAAUUUACCGAAGCUGUGGAUACCUUUAUAGGUAUGGUAGGAGAGCGUUCUAUGUGUGAUGAAGGUAUACCGUGAGGAGUGCUGGAACGCAUAGAAGUGAGAAUGCCGGUAUGAGUAGCGAAAGACAGGUGAGAAUCCUGUCCACCGUAAGACUAAGGUUUCCAGGGGAAGGCUCGUCCGCCCUGGGUUAGUCGGGACCUAAGGAGAGACCGAAAGGUGUAUCCGAUGGACAACAGGUUGAUAUUCCUGUACUAGAGUAUGUAGUGAUGGAGGGACGCAGUAGGCUAACUAAAGCAGACGAUUGGAAGAGUCUGUCUAAGCAGUGAGGUGUGAAUUGAGUCAAAUGCUUAAUUCUAUAACAUUGAGCUGUGAUGGGGAGCGAAGUUUAGUAGCGAAGUUAGUGACGUCACACUGCCAAGAAAAGCUUCUAGCGUUUAAACAUACUCUACCCGUACCGCAAACCGACACAGGUAGUCGAGGCGAGUAGCCUCAGGUGAGCGAGAGAACUCUCGUUAAGGAACUCGGCAAAAUGACCCCGUAACUUCGGGAGAAGGGGUGCUGACUUAAAGUCAGCCGCAGUGAAUAGGCCCAAGCAACUGUUUAUCAAAAACACAGCUCUCUGCUAAAUCGUAAGAUGAUGUAUAGGGGGUGACGCCUGCCCGGUGCUGGAAGGUUAAGAGGAGUGCUUAGCGUAAGCGAAGGUAUGAAUUGAAGCCCCAGUAAACGGCGGCCGUAACUAUAACGGUCCUAAGGUAGCGAAAUUCCUUGUCGGGUAAGUUCCGACCCGCACGAAAGGCGUAAUGAUUUGGGCACUGUCUCAACGAGAGACUCGGUGAAAUUUUAGUACCUGUGAAGAUGCAGGUUACCCGCGACAGGACGGAAAGACCCCAUGGAGCUUUACUGCAGUUUGAUAUUGAGUGUCUGUACCACAUGUACAGGAUAGGUAGGAGUCUAAGAGAUCGGGACGCCAGUUUCGAAGGAGACGCUGUUGGGAUACUACCCUUGUGUUAUGGCCACUCUAACCCAGAUAGGUGAUCCCUAUCGGAGACAGUGUCUGACGGGCAGUUUGACUGGGGCGGUCGCCUCCUAAAAGGUAACGGAGGCGCCCAAAGGUUCCCUCAGAAUGGUUGGAAAUCAUUCGCAGAGUGUAAAGGUAUAAGGGAGCUUGACUGCGAGAGCUACAACUCGAGCAGGGACGAAAGUCGGGCUUAGUGAUCCGGUGGUUCCGUAUGGAAGGGCCAUCGCUCAACGGAUAAAAGCUACCCUGGGGAUAACAGGCUUAUCUCCCCCAAGAGUUCACAUCGACGGGGAGGUUUGGCACCUCGAUGUCGGCUCGUCGCAUCCUGGGGCUGUAGUCGGUCCCAAGGGUUGGGCUGUUCGCCCAUUAAAGCGGCACGCGAGCUGGGUUCAGAACGUCGUGAGACAGUUCGGUCCCUAUCCGUCGCGGGCGUAGGAAAUUUGAGAGGAUCUGCUCCUAGUACGAGAGGACCAGAGUGGACUUACCGCUGGUGUACCAGUUGUCUUGCCAAAGGCAUCGCUGGGUAGCUAUGUAGGGAAGGGAUAAACGCUGAAAGCAUCUAAGUGUGAAACCCACCUCAAGAUGAGAUUUCCCAUGAUUAUAUAUCAGUAAGAGCCCUGAGAGAUGAUCAGGUAGAUAGGUUAGAAGUGGAAGUGUGGCGACACAUGUAGCGGACUAAUACUAAUAGCUCGAGGACUUAUCCAA
rnacentral:rRNA from 1 species